ACUUUUUCAGGACAAGAUAUACUAAGUCUACCCAAAUGACAUACGCGUCACUUUUCCAAAAUAUAGAAAUCAGAUCUCUCAAAACCUAUUUCAUGGAUACCGUAGCUUCUCUAAAAAUCUAUGGUGCCAUCGUUCAACCCUCUCUCUAGAACACUAGAUUGUCUCUCUCUCACACACACAUAGUAAUCAAUCAAACACCAUACCAUUCCUCUCUCAAUAUUUCUCUCUACCCCUCUUUCGGUUGCGAAAUCGCUCAGGGAUCUCUCACUUGCGGGAAGACACUCUUGCUCAGUUGAUUUUCUCUCUCUAUCAAGUUUGUCUGGUUUUCUAGGAGUUUUGGCUCCAUUUUGGGUGGCUCUGGCAUAGCAAGUUGUUGUGUCGUUGUUGUUUAGUGUAGGGGUUUGAGCUGAUUUUGCAGGGUUGUCACACAUAGCAGGAGAAAGCGGUUUUAGGUCUUGUGCAUGAUCUAGGAGUUUUUGCUUCACUUUGGGUUACUGCAUGGCGUAGCAAAUUGGUGUGUCGCUUUUGUCUAGCAUUGGGGUUUGGGUUGGUUAUGCGAGGCUGUCUCACAUAGCAGGACAAAAUGGUUUUAGGUCUGGAGUAUCUUGUUUGCCUUUUUAUCAUGGCAUUAAAAUUAUAAAAAGUGAUGUACCACUAGCAAAAGUCUAGUUUGUGCAAGUUUGGAUAUUAUACUAGAAUGUUAUACAAUUUUUUAAAUUUUAGUUAUUAUAAAAUGAGGCACCUUAUGUUCUUUGUAUCA